UGGCGAUGUUGUAUUGCCUCCAUGGGCUAAAGGUAGUGUUCGGGAGUUUAUUAAAAAGCAUAGAGAAGCUCUGGAGUCUGAUUAUGUUUCAGAGAAUCUGCAUCACUGGAUAGACCUAAUCUUUGGCUACAAACAGAGAGGGAAAGCAGCUGAAGAAGCAGUUAAUGUCUUCUAUCACUACACUUAUGAAGGCAGUGUUGACAUUGACUCGGUUAGUGAUCCAGCAAUGAAAGCCUCAAUUCUUGCUCAAAUUAAUCACUUUGGGCAAACACCAAAACAACUAUUCCUCAAACCCCAUGCCAAGAGGCGAACUAAUAGGAAGCUUCCUCCUCACCCGUUGAAGUACUCUCAGCAUCUUGUUCCGCACGAGAUUCGUAAAACCUCAUCUUCUAUAUCUCAGAUUGUCACAUCAGGUG
rnacentral:misc_RNA from 1 species